UUCAAAUUGGAAAGCUAAUUAGAGAUAAAUCUAAUCAUAUUAGGAUAACAAAUAAUAACCGAUUUGGCCUUAUCUCUAACGCUAUUAGGAUUUUGAAAUUCCUUAUAAAUAGACGGGCGAUCCCACAUGAAACGAUGAACGAACGAUACCGAAAAAGAAAAGAGAAUAAGAAAACGAAAGAGAGAAACCACAUCAUCCAUCAACCUAUUAUUCUAGAGGGACUUGAAUGGUGGAUUUGUGAUCGUGCUCGUUUGUAGUUCGAUCCACUGUGGGUUCGGAACGUGAGAAGAUUUAAUCAAGGACGAUCAAAUGACACGUGAAUCAAUCUCGACGAUCCG
rnacentral:lncRNA from 1 species